rnacentral:rRNA from 1 species
AAGCGGCGAACGGGUGAGUAACACGUGGGUGACCUGCCCUCGGCAUCGGGAUAGCCCGGGGAAACCCGGAUUAAUACCGAAUAGCCUCAUUGAUCUUCGGGUUGAUGAGAAAAGGUAGCUUCGGCUUCUAGCCGAGGAUGGGCCCGCGCCCGAUUAGCUUGUUGGUGAGGUAAUGGCUCACCAAGGCUACGAUCGGUAGCUGGUCUGAGAGGACGAUCAGCCACACUGGGACUGAGACACGGCCCAGACUCCUACGGGAGGCAGCAGUGGGGAAUCUUGCGCAAUGGGCGAAAGCCUGACGCAGCGACGCCGCGUGCGGGAGGAAGGCCUUAGGGUUGUAAACCGCUUUCAGGAGGGACGAAGCCACUCGGGUUAAUAGCCUAGAGGGUGACGGUACCUCCAGAAGAAGCCCCGGCUAACUACGUGCCAGCAGCCGCGGUAAUACGUAGGGGGCUAGCGUUGUCCGGAUUCAUUGGGCGUAAAGAGCGUGUAGGCGGUUCGAUAGGUCCGGUGUGAAAACUCGAGGCUCAACCUCGAGAGGUCGCCGGAAACCCUCGAGCUAGAGUCCGGAAGAGGAGAG